GUGUUGGUUAUUUUGUUUUGUCUUUUUUAAAUCCAGUCAGCCCAGUCUUGUGUUUGAUAGUGAGCUGAGACCCUUAGUACUUUUGAUGGUAAAUUUUUGAUUGUGUCAAUUCUUGUCUCUUAUUUGCAACGAUCUAUACUGGGGCCUACGUGGGGAAUGCCUGAAGGCUCCAGCUGAAAUCCUUUGGUCUGGCACUGUUGAAGUUGGUCAAUGUUUGUGCUGACAUCAAAAUGAGGGGUGUGGUACAACAGGCAUUAGCCAUUGGAUCACGUCAAACCAAUCAGAGCAUCUAAGCCAAAAUGCAGCUUCAUCCAAGUGUGUUCUGGCUCUGGCCCAACCCCUUGGUUUGUGGGACCAAUCAGAACGAUUAGAAUGUUACAGAGAGGAAGCUACUGUUUUGUGGGCGUGGCAUUUGGCCGGAGCCGGGUAAUUGUGAGACGUCAUAUCAUUGGUUUACAGGGUAUUGCUGAUGAAGUCAUCAUGAAUUUUAAAUGUUAUGGGAGGAGGUUGGCAGCCAUUGGUCUCCAGUUAUCCAGUAGAGAGACAUGUUUGUAUGAUGGAGGGCACUAAGAGACAAGUGACGCUUUCUCACUGUUUUUAUAUUAGCCAUGUCUAUGUGUUUGUUGUUUUUUGGAUGUUAAGCACUUAGUUGUCAAUCUGUUCACAAUGGCAUUUUUAGGAAUCUGUGUUUUGGGUCAGGUGAGAUUGGACUCAAGGAGAAGAGUGUAGAAUCCUAAUAAAAGAGGCCUCCUUUAACAUCUUUUGGUUUCUUUUGGUCAUGCCACCAACAUUCUUUAGUGCUCCCACACUCAAGCGACAAUCACAGUUAGUGAAAGGUUACCUAGUCCGCUUUGAGCGAGUUGAGACCAACCCUAAAGCUGCUUCAGGGCACAUUUCCCAGCAUAGAGUUGGAAUUUGCUUGCAUUAAAAAGGUGUCAAAUAAAAGCCAUCUGUUUCUAUGCCCUUUGGUCCAUGGCAGUGCUGGCUGCAGUGUGAGCCCCAGCCUGUCUCUACGAUGGAACUCCUUAUGUCUCUGGAGCUGCCCGUAGAGGCCGUCUGACCUCUGAGUUUUUACAGUCUAGAGGAAGAGGAGCUUUGCCUCACGCCAGGCCAGACGCACCUUCUUAUCUAGGUCCUUGUUAUUUUGUACAGUUCUAAGAUAUUUCUAGUGUUAAGUGCCAUUUAUUUUACAUAUUCUGAAGUUACCAAGUGACGCACACUUUUCAUUUGUUUUAAUCAUGUUUUUCAUCUUGUUUUCAUGCCAGGGUUAUACAUGUUCACGCAGGGAAAUGUUGAAGCAUCCUCCGUUCAAUUUCUACAUGUCCUUUUUCCAGAUCUGUCACCGCCUUAGCUCUUUACCGUCACCUGUUCUGUCACAUCCGGGGAGGUUUAUACAGUCUAACAGUGUUACUUUACCAUGUGGGACUUUAGUUUUUACUCCUUUUAAUCAUGUCGUCCAUAGCUCUUAUUGAAUUGUUGAUGCCAGGAAGCACAGCUGUUUAGAUGGACUGCAUGUUAUCCUGCUGUCCAUCAAGCCUUUGGGAGCCAGUCGAGUCGAGGCUUGUUAGUUAUUAACGUGUGUAACUGUUGGACUGACUCCACUAUCCUUUUCCAUCUUCACUGGAUUACAUCAAGUUUCUGCUUGGCCUACCUGAUACUAGUCUCAUUUCAAUUGAAUCAGUCAUGGUAGACCUAAACACAAAGGUAACUGGAACCAACCAAGCAGAAGGUAACCCCAGCUGUUUCAUCCAAAAACUCAGCAUCUGUACUUGUAUAUUAGUUUACUAUUCAUAACCUAAUUGGGAGAGAAAGUCAUAGAAUAAUUUCAAAUGACAGGGGACAAAACCAUAUCCAGGUGUGUUAACAAAAUAAAUAGCAGAGAUAACUAGAAAAAUCAGUUGUUCCAUGUACUGAUGUGUAUUUGAAUGAGUUAUGCUUUCCUCUGGUUUCUAUUUGUUCUUACACCGCUUGCUUUUGAUUACAGUCAUGUCACUCUCCAUGUUAAUAGUUUAGCGUUUCAUUUGAUAUUAAAAGAAGGACAAAAGGCGAAAGAAAAACAAAUGAAUGAAAUGGCCGUGGGGGGGAGGGGGGGACGGUGCUGGGACAUGGCAUGUACAUUGUUUAACCAUUAUGUGCAUAAUGAUUUUUUUUCUUCAUUUUUUUUAUUAUAACCCACUGUAUAAUAGCAUGGAUUGUACAUAGAACUGAAGAGAUGUAAAUAUUUAUGUGGCUUGCUGCAAGGUUGGUAUUUACAGAAAAACUAUUGACACUGUUUAAUUCUACAUGCCCACCAGCAAGCUUUGUGGAUAGCAGUGGAAAAAUGAAAAACAACAAAAAAAACACUGCCUUAAUGUUUAAAUAAAAAGCUUAUUGCCAUUGAAACUGAUGCUAAUGUGUUUUUGUAUGCCUUUUCGUUUUAAUGUCAAAAUGUGUACAAUCACUUAUGCCUAUUUAAUAAAGCAGA
ensembl:lncRNA